GUCUACAGCCAUACCACCCUGAAUGCACCCAAUCUCACCUGAUCUUGGAAGCUAAGCAGGAUCAGGCCUGGUUAGUACUUGGAUGGGAGAAAAGGGCAGUCAUUUGUGCAGUAUGUA
rnacentral:rRNA from 1 species